rnacentral:rRNA from 1 species
GACGAACGCUGGCGGCGUGCCUAAUACAUGCAAGUUGAGCGAUGAAGAUUGGUGCUUGCACCAAUUUGAAGAGCAGCGAACGGGUGAGUAACGCGUGGGGAAUCUGCCUUUGAGCGGGGGACAACAUUUGGAAACGAAUGCUAAUACCGCAUAAUCACUUUAAACAUAAGUUUUAAGAUUGAAAGAUGCAAUUGCAUCACUCAAAGAUGAUCCCGCGUUGUAUUAGCUAGUUGGUGAGGUAAAGGCUCACCACGGCGAUGAUACAUAGCCGAACUGAGAGGGUUGUCGACCACAUUGGGACUGAGACACGGCCCAAGCCCCUACGGGAGGCAGCAGGAGGGAAUCUUCGGACAUUGACGAAAGUCUGACCGAGCAACGCCGGGGUAGAUAAGAAGGGUUUCGGAGUGUAAAACUCUGUUGGUAGAGAAGAACGUUGGUGAGAGUGGAAAGCUCAUCAAGUGACGUUAACUACCGAAAAAGGGACGGCUAACUACGUG